GAUGAAGAACGUAACGAAAUGCGAUACUUGGUGUGAAUUGCAGAAUCCCGUGAACCAUCGAGUCUUUGAACGCAAGUUGCGCCUCAAGCCAUUAGGUUGAGGGCACGUCUGCCUGGGCGUCACAUAUCGUUGCCUGAUGCCAGUUUCCUCGUGAUGGGUGACUGUGCAGGGCGAAUGAUGGCUUCCCGUGAGCAUUGUUGCCUCAUGGUUGGUUGAAAAUUGAGUCCUUGGUAGGGAGCGCCGUGAUAGAUGGUGGUUGAGUGACGAACGAGACCCAAUCAUGUGAGACCCCUACCGAAUUUGGCCUUCAUGACCCACAUGCGUCUUUGGAACGCUCAUGACGAGACCUCAGGUCAGGCGGGGCUACCCGCUGAGUUUAAGCAUAUCAAUAAGCGGAGGA
rnacentral:misc_RNA from 1 species